rnacentral:rRNA from 1 species
CCUACGGGUGACAGCAGUGGGGGAUAUUGCACAAUGGGGGAAACCCUGAUGCAGCGACGCCGCGUGUGGGAAGACGGUCUUCUGGAUUGUAAACCACUGUCCCCAGGGACGAAAAUGACGGUACCUGGGGAGGAAGCUCCGGCUAACUACGUGCCAGCAGCCGCGGUAAUACGUAGGGAGCAAGCGUUGUCCGGAAUUACUGGGUGUAAAGGGAGCGUAGGCGGGGAUGCAAGUUGGGUGUCAAAACUACCGGCUCAACCGAUAGUCGCACUCAAAACUGCAACUCUUGAGUGAAGUAGAGGCAGGCGGAAUUCCUAGUGUAGCGGUGAAAUGCGUAGAUAUUAGGAGGAACACCAGUGGCGAAGGCGGCCUGCUGGGCUUUUACUGACGCUGAGGCUCGAAAGUGUGGGGAGCAAACAGGAUUAGAUACCCGGGUAGUC